CCACCCUCCAUGAAGCUGCCAGGUCAGACAUGCUGAAUCUUUCCCGUUUCUUUUUGAAGGAAGUGUUCGGAGGAAACCAGUUUCCAUACAGAAGAUAAUCCAGCAUCGUACUGAAACACUAUCAGAAGCACAGUCCCCUCACACCAUUUGAAGAAAGCCACCUCUGUCCCCAGCCCUGAUAUCUGGGAAGCCAACUCUCUACACUUCAGCCCUCCAACAUUCAGAUCUCACAGAUUCUGUCAAUCAGCUACAGCACAAACUCAGUAUCCUGUUUAUAGAUGAAUAUUGUCUCUGUUUAAGUUAGCUGUCAUGUUACCUUCACAGCCACGCUUACAGUCAGUGCCGCAGCCUGCUCAAGGACCCCACAUCUCAGAAAGAGGUCCUUUCCCAGCUCAGGAUUUUAAUGAAAGAGCCCCCUCCAGGGGACAUGUGUGCUUGACCUUUGACUGUUGCUGCAGUGACUGCGCUGAGACCAAUAAAGUAUGUGAUUCCUACAA